GAUGAACGCUAGCGGCAGGCUUAAUACAUGCAAGUCGAGGGACAGCACAGGUAGCAAUACUGGGUGGUAACCGGCAAACGGGUGCGGAACACGUACACAACCUUCCUUUAAGUGGGGGAUAGCCCAGAGAAAUUUGGAUUAAUACCCCGUAAUAUAGUUGAAUGGCAUCAUUUGAUUAUUAUAGCUACGGCGCUUAAUGAUGGGUGUGCGGCUGAUUAGCUAGUUGGCGGGGUAACGGCCCACCAAGUCUACGAUCAGUAGCUGAUGUGAGAGCAUGAUCAGCCACACGGGCACUGAGACACGGGCCCGACUCCUACGGGAGGCAGCAGUAAGGAAUAUGGUCAAUGGACGCAAGUCUGAACCAGCCAUGCCGCGUGAAGGAUUAAGGUCCUCUGGAUUGUAAACUUCUUUUAUUUGGGGCGAAAAAGGGCCUUUCUAGGUCAACUGACGGUACCAGAUGAAUAAGCACCGGCUAACUCCGUGCCAGCCGCCGCGGUAACAC
rnacentral:rRNA from 1 species